CUUGAAACUGUAAAUAGUGAGCUACAUUUGUGUGUAUGUAUGUGAUACCUCAUAAGCGAGAGAAUCCAAUUGAAAGCCAAGUAUUUAAGUAUUUUGCCUCGAUUUUAUAGCGCUGAACUAUUUUUGAAUUUCGAAGUGAACGUCCGGUUAAACGAACUAACAUAAAUUGGAAAGAGGAAUGCAGCACUUUUACGCUAGCGUACAAAGAUAUUUAUCAUUUGUCAAUGUAAGAUCAGCGCUGUUGGACGUAUGUAACCCCUUAAUGCUGUAGUUUCCGUAGUUUUCAAAUAAAACCAAGAAUCAACACUUCGAGAUUUUAAUUGUUAACAGUAACGUAGGUAGAUACCAUUAAUUAGCGCUUAUAGGAUUGUUGUCCCAGCAAUUCCUUUUGUAUAAUUUUUAUGUUUUUUUAUAAGAAGCAAUGAAUUCUAAAUAGGAUUUACAAAAUGUUUAGAGUGGAUGAGUCUACACUACCGGAACAUCACGGAUUUAGAUUCGUAUUCGGCCAAGUGCUUAUGGCGAAUAGUGAGUGCUGUUGCAACCCUCCACAACAAGCAGCAUCAAAAAAACCUCCACUCUUCAAAAGCGUAAAUAUUGUAAUAGACACAACAACUCGAUAUAUGGACAUUAUCAAAUGAAAAACAUUUUAUAAUUGGCUUUAAAUAAUUUUUAUUUCAUACACAGAAAACUUAAAACUGUUCAAACGCCAAUUAAUCUUCCAUUCAGAUUCAAAGUAGAGUUCAUUCCCUUUUUUUAGGUUUUGCUUUAUGCAAAGUAAAAUCAAAAACAUGAAUUCGUUGGCGUUUUUUACAACAAAUAUUAUUAUUAUUAAGAAGUAACAAACAACAUACAAUUAAUAAUGGUAGUUGUUUGCUCAUUUUCUGGCUAUUGUUUUUAACCAAUUAAAAAAUAGUAUAUUGUAUUUUUGGAUAUAUAUGUAUAUAUGUAUGUAUGCACUAUGUAUACUUUGAUUUGAAACAUAUUUUUCAAGUUCUACAUUCACUGCCUGUUUACUUUUAAAUCGCUUUCAAUUUGAAUUUUUUAUUUUUUUUUACAUAUAUUACUUUCACAUCACUUUGACAUUUUUUAGUGUUAGUUACUCUAAAAAAAUUCUGUGCACAUACAUGUACAUAUGUGCAGAUGAGUGCAUAGCAUAUGU